rnacentral:rRNA from 1 species
ACAUCCUUCGACGGUUUCUGGAGACAGAUUCCUUCCUUCGGGACGAAGUGACAGGUGCUGCAUGGCUGUCGUCAGCUCGUGUCGUGAGAUGUUGGGUUAAGUCCCGCAACGAGCGCAACCCUCAUCCUUAGUUGCCAUCAUUUAGUUGGGCACUUUAAGGAAACUGCCGGUGAUAAGCCGGAGGAAGGUGGGGAUGACGUCAAGUCCUCAUGGCCCUUACAGGCUGGGCUACACACGUGCUACAAUGGCAUCUACAGUGAGCAGCGAUCCCGCGAGGGCUAGCUAAUCUCCAAAAGAUGUCUCAGUUCGGAUUGUUCUCUGCAACUCGAGAGCAUGAAGGCGGAAUCGCUAGUAAUCGCGGAUCAGCAUGCCGCGGUGAUACGUUCCCAGGCNUUUACACACCGCCCGU